GCUGGGUGUGGUGGUGCAUACCUGUAAUCCCAGCUACUCAGGAGGCUGAGGCAGGAGAAUCGCUUGAACCCGGGAGGUGGAGGUUGCAGUGAGCCAAGAGUGUACCACUGUACUCCAGCCUGGGGGACAGAGCGAGACUCUGUCUCAA
ensembl:misc_RNA Metazoa_SRP Metazoan signal recognition particle RNA